AUUGAACGCUGGCGGAAUGCUUUACACAUGCAAGUCGAGCGGCAGCGCGGGGGCAACCCUGGCGGCGAGCGGCGAACGGGUGAGUAAUACAUCGGAACGUGUCCUUAAGUGGGGGAUAGCUCGGCGAAAGCCGGAUUAAUACCGCAUAAGCUCUGAGGAGGAAAGCGGGGGCUCCGUAAGGACCUCGCGCUGUUGGAGCGGCCGAUGUCGGAUUAGCUAGUUGGUGGGGUAAAGGCCCACCAAGGCGACGAUCCGUAGCUGGUCUGAGAGGAUGAUCAGCCACACUGGAACUGAGACACGGUCCAGACUCCUACGGGAGGCAGCAGUGGGGAGUAUUGGACAAUGGGGGCAACCCUGAUCCAGCAAUGCCGCGUGGGUGAUGAAGGCCUGG
rnacentral:rRNA from 1 species